CAGAGACCAACACCUCAGAACACUUUGUGCCUCUUCAAUGAGUCCCUGACAUUGAACAUGUCUGCCUUCUGAAGUGUCCUUUCGUUUGUUUCUAUUUAUCGAGGAUAUGUCUCAGGACACCCCCAGGCUUCAUUUUUUGCCUUAAUCCUGUAUCACACCAUUUAAGUGGCCCUCUGAUCAGGCCAGGUGUAUGGGAAAAAUGAACCGUGUCCCUGAUCUGACAGAACACACCACUGAAGGUCUUCAAAAGGAUCAAGAAUGUUUAUGUAGAUACCUGAGAAGAGAGCAGGGUCUACACUGACACUGAAGGCACAGAUGAAGAUCUUUCCAUCCAGCAAAGUCACCAGGAUCCACACCAUCGGUGCCAGCAGAGCCCUCUGGAUCAUGGCCGAGAAAAGGUCUCAUCCACUCCUCCAUCAUGACGCCUGUAUGCCGGUUGACCAGGACCCCCAAGAAGAACAGUAUGAUGGGCGGGACGAUCAUCACUCCCAGGGAGUACAGUUUGUUGUACUGAGGAAGGCACGGGCAGUUAAAGUCAAAGCUUGUGUAGAGCUUGACACUGACCAAGGCCAGGAUGAUACAGAUCCCAUUGGAUAUAGACUCAGAGUUGGACUGGAAGUACUGCAGGACUAACUUCAGACGCUCCAUAGCUGAAGGAAAUGUUCAGGGUGGUAGAAGUAGAAGCAGACACAAGUAGAAAUAGCUGAUCCAACUGCUGCUGGGGUUUUUAAUUCAACCAGUGAAUACAGAGAAAGUUCCAGUAGUGAGAUAUAGUGUUACAUAAUGUUUUACCUCACAAAUCCUUUGAAGUAAACUCCACAAUGUAGCAGCCUCAGUAAACAACCUGAGCUUUUGUGUGCAGAUAGCAGUGACGGAGUGAGUCCUGCAGUGAUCCAGGGAGAGUCUGAGAAUGUAUGAAUACACCUGACCAGGUGACAGAGCUGUGCGGCCACACCCUGCCUCACUGGCAAAGCAGCACUCACAUCAAAGGCUUACUGAGAAAAGGAGCAACAGCAGUAGUUCCUGUUACGGCUGUAUGGGGCCUGAAACUCUAAGCAUUUGGGACUGUACAGUAGAUGAGCCAUCACUGUUGGUUUGAAUUUAAUAUUAAUGUUUAAUCCCUUGUGUUCAUAGUUUAGGGCUCAUUUCUUCUGGUUCAAACAGUCAAUCCAGGAAGCACCGUUUAGAAAGUUGACAUUGUAAUUCUGAGGGUGCAAUGGCAUGUAUCCUCUGAGGACCAUGUGUACACUAUAAAUGAUCAAAUCAGCCCACUCUGAAGAACCGUUUCCAGCUAUAAAGCUCGGUGUUGAAAAGUAUUUUAUCUGCAUCAUGAGAUAAGGAACGAAUGCUACUCAAAGGCCUAUAAGAAACAUGUUUUGGAGCUUAGGCUCACAAGGAAAGCAUUUCGACUCCAUUCAAGAAAUCAGAACCUAACAGGCCAAUAUGUUUAUGCAAAUGCUGGGGAAAAAAACACCACAUAGAUAUCAAGUUUACUUUAUUUAUAUAAAAGACAUGAAAAAAAACAUGCUUCACCUGCAUGAAAGUGCUUUGAUUACAACAUUGUUAUAGAUAAUCUGUUCUGAAUGGCCAAAUAAAUCAAGAGGA